AUGCUCACUCCGGCAGUACAUAUACUAAAAUUGGAAUGAUACAGAGAAGACUAGCAUAGCCCCUGUGCAAGGAUGACAUGCAAAUUUGUAAAUUAUAGUCUCCAUUA
rnacentral:snRNA from 1 species